rnacentral:lncRNA from 1 species
ACAUAGUGGCUGCACGACCCUACGCCUCCGGCUACGGUCACCGUUGUAAGCAGUCCGGGUACGAACACGAUGGGUCCAGAGACGCAGGCAAAAAUCAGUCGCACGGUACUAGCGUUGGUAUCAUCGCAUCUGACACGUCUCGCAAAGGUCGCCCCGGUCUCAACCGGGAAACGGCCGGCGCACGGAAGAAAGGCUGUCGUCGACCAAACGGGGGUCCCCCCCGGCACAGUCGGCACAGGUACACACGGGAAAAACGAUAUUGAAAAAAACCCCAACCAGACGGGACAAACGAUGGGAAAAACAGUAAAAGCGGACACGGCCAAGGCUGGUGUCGAGGGAGGAUUAACAUUUGAUGAAGUGUAGAGCGUAGUAUGCCCAUUCCGGCGUGCAUGGCUCCGACUUUUACCUCCCACGGCACCUCGGCUUUUCGGUCGAUACCGAUACGGAAAAAACGAAAAAAGGUUGCGGGUACUUAUCUGGUUGAUCCUGCCAGUAGUCAUAUGCUUGUCUCAAAGAUUAAGCCAUGCAUGUCUAAGUACAU